GCGAGGCGAGGCGAGGCGAGGCGACCCUCUAGCGCCUCGCCUGGCACCACCUGCCCUUGCUUCCAAGAGGCGACUACCCCAACGACAGAGGUGCCGGGUGACAAGGCAACGCGUUAGUGAAGCUAACAUUAACUUUUUGUUUUUUGUUUUUUUUUUCCCUUUUUUAAUUGUUUUUUAACACAACAAAUUAAAAAACCCUAAGACAGCACCUCCUAUUUUGUCACACCUCCUUUAUCUCUCCAAAAAUACCACUCUCUUACUACACUCUCUCUCUCUCUCUCU
rnacentral:misc_RNA from 1 species